AUUUUACUUAAAGGAAGCCACAGUGAAAGGUUGAAAAAGGUCAAAGAAGUAGUACAAGAUUCAUUUAACCUUGCAUAUCAUCUAAUCUUGGAGGCUUCCUUCCUUGCUGAUCGGCAAACAAUGUUCUCAACCAUCUUUCCAAAGGAAGCUACAUCAUGUGUUAUGGAAACAGAAAAAGUUCCACUAUCUCCUUCUCCUGGAAAAUCUUCACUUGAAGCAAUUGAUAUUCCCUUUUCUAAUGGAUUCGAUGAACGAUCUAUUCAGAUAAAUGGGGAAUCAGAUGGUGAGAAAGCUGAAAACUGGGAUUCUGGUGGAGAUCAUGUCUUCUCUCACGAGCCAUAUAAUCCAGUUAUUUUUACUGGGUUUUCCUCUUUAUCCGCCAAGCUAAGUAAAUAUUUUGGCUUAGUUGAAAAUCCGGAAUCAGUUCCAGUUACUAUGGAUACAGAUGCAAAUAGCAGCCAUACCGAAGAUGCUACAGAAAAGGAUGAAAGACCUUUGUUACUUGACCCUGGGCUCCCGGUAAACACGAAUUCAGAUGAUGGAGAGAGGUCGCCAGCUGAGAAUGAUAUUGAGACCACCUUGGAAUCUCAGGAGCCAUGGUAGUCAAGAAGAUGUGGACUCCCCCCUAAAGGAUAAGAAGGUCGAUCGCCAAUAUACCUUAGAGCGCAAGUCCAAGAGCAUGCCCAGUGACAUCCAGAGAGACAUUUAUAUUUUGGGUGAAAAAUCUAAAGACAACGGUGUUGAAAGUGUUCAAUUCCUAUCUGAUCGUGAAGAUGAUGGUGCUGAAAUGGAUGCCCCCCCUAUUUGGGAACCCCCGGAGCCACUAGACCCAGAAGAUGAACUAGAAGAUGCUGCUGCUGAUGAAUGUUGUGAUGGCUCUAAACGGGCCAGAUCAUCUUCUUUAGGGGAAUCUAAAGAUGGAAGUAGUAACCAGAGAAAGUUCAAUGAAGAAAAUCGAAGAGCAAUGCUUGCGGUGGCAAACUCAAAGUUUAACUUCAUUGUGAGUCAGCUUAUUCAGUCGGCUGGGUUUUCAUUGGAAGAAGGUGAAAGUUGGAGUGCGAUAGUUGCUAGGUUAUGCUGGGAGGCUGCUUCACUAUUAAAGCCAGAUAUUGAUGGCAAACCAGUUGAUCCGGCUGAGUACAUCAAAGUGAAAUGCAUAGCAACUGGUUCUUGCAAUGAAAGGUAUUACAACUUACCCAUUGAUUGCCUAUACGUUGCAUAUGAUUUUUAUUCCAUUUCCCUCUACCGUACUCUCCUAAUGAUUUGUUCAUCUCUGCAGUGAAGUUUUUAAAGGCCUUGUUUUCAAAAAACAUGCUGCUCUUAAACAAAUGCCUACCAAGUAUGAGCAUCCUAGAAUAAUGUUAGUCGAAGGAGUACUGGGCCAGCCAUUAAGUGGUUUUUCUUCUCUCCAGUCAAUGGAUAAGGUGGGGAGCACAGUACCUUGGCGAUCACCAAUUCACCAUUUUGAAAGCUUUCAUUUGGUAAUAUCUGAUUUCUUUUUGUUUGGUUUUUGCCAGCAGGACAAAGAUGUUUAUGUGAAGCCUGUUGUUGAUAUCAUAGCCGCGUUGAAGCCUGACGUCAUGCUGGUGGAAAAAUCUGUUUCGCGUGAUAUCCAAUUGUCUAUUAAUGAACAAAAGGUCACUCUGGUGCUUGACAUGAAGCUCCACCGUCUACAGCGAAUUUCUCGAUGCAUAGGUUCACCAAUCAUUCCAUUGGAAUCUCUGUCUAGUCAGAAGUUAAAGCACUGUGAUUCCUUUCGCAUUGAGAAAAUUGUGGAGGAGCAUAAUGCUGUGGGCGAAGCUGAGAAGAAGCCAACUAAAACGCUGAUGUUCUUAGAAGGUUGUCCUACCCGCCUUGGCUGCACGGUGAGUGCUUGAUUGAUAUUGGAUUAUGAUAAGUUGUUGAUGGUAUCUUUACUUGAGUAACACAUCAAUACAUCACAUAACUGCCGGUAUUAUAGUAGUUUCCACUGGAUAAAACAUCAAAUCUUUCAAAAUUUGAAUUUGUGACAUUGACCUUGGACUUUCUUGCCCUGAUUAUCUGAUUUUGACAUUGUGGUAUGUGACAGAUUUUACUUAAAGGAAGCCACAGUGAGAGGUUGAAAAAGGUCAAAGAAGUAGUACAAGAUUCAUUUAACCUUGCAUAUCAUCUAAUCUUGGAGGCUUCCUUCCUUGCUGAUCGGCAAACAAUGUUCUCAACCAUCUUUCCAAAGCAAGCUACCUUAUGUGUUAUGGAAACAGAAAAAGUUCCACUAUCUCCUCCUGGAAAAUCUUCAUUUGAAACAAUUGAUAUUCCCUUUUCUAAUGGAUUCGAUGAUAUUCAGAUAAAUGGGGAAUCAGAUGGUGAGAAAGCUGAAAACUGGGAUUCUGGUGGAGAUCAUGUCUUCUCUCACGAGCCAUAUAAUCCAGUUAUUUUUACUGGGUUUUCCUCUUUAUCCGCCAAGCUAAGUAAAUAUUUUGGCUUAGUUGAAAAUCCGGAAUCAGUUCCAGUUACUAUGGAUACAGAUGCAAAUAGCAGCCAUACCGAAGAUGCUACAGAAAAGGAUGAAAGACCUUUGUUACUUGACCCUGGGCUCCCGGUAAACACGAAUUCAGAUGAUGGAGAGAGGUCGCCAGCUGAGAAUGAUAUUGAGACCACCUUGGAAUCUCAGAGUAUAUUGGUUUUAGUGUCAAAGAGGAAUGCUUCUAAGGGGAUGAUGUGUGACCAAAGUCAUUUUUCGCACAUAAAGUUUUACAAGCACUUUGAUGUCCGCUUGGAUAGAUUCCUGCGAGAUAUG
rnacentral:lncRNA from 1 species